rnacentral:rRNA from 1 species
GACGAACGCUGGCGGCGUGCUUAACACAUGCAAGUCGAACGGAAAGGCCCUGCUUUUGUGGGGUGCUCGAGUGGCGAACGGGUGAGUAACACGUGAGUAACCUGCCCUUGACUUUGGGAUAACUUCAGGAAACUGGGGCUAAUACCGGAUAGGAGCUCCUGCUGCAUGGUGGGGGUUGGAAAGUUUCGGCGGUUGGGGAUGGACUCGCGGCUUAUCAGCUUGUUGGUGGGGUAGUGGCUUACCAAGGCUUUGACGGGUAGCCGGCCUGAGAGGGUGACCGGCAGCAGUGGGCUUGUGCACCGCCCGGCACUCCGCCGGGGGGCAGAAGGGGGAAUGUUGCCAGAUGGGCCGGAGCCCGGAUCCCGCACCCCCGCGUGGGGGAGGGCGGCCUGCGGUUUGUACCCCCUUUGCCCCUGUCACGAGGGGGGAGGGAGGUUAAGGGAUAAAGACACCCGGCCAAACCCGGUC